rnacentral:rRNA from 1 species
AACGAACGCUGGCGGCAGGCCUAACACAUGCAAGUCGAGCGAACCCUUCGGGGUUAGCGGCGGACGGGUUAGUAACGCGUGGGAAUAUACCCUUUGGUACGGAAUAGCCUCGGGAAACUGAGAGUAAUACCGUAUGUGCCCUUCGGGGGAAAGAUUUAUCGCCAAAGGAUUAGCCCGCGUUGGAUUAGAUAGUUGGUGGGGUAAUGGCCUACCAAGUCUACGAUCCAUAGCUGGUUUGAGAGGAUGAUCAGCAACACUGGGACUGAGACACGGCCCAGACUCCUACGGGAGGCAGCAGUGGGGAAUCUUAGACAAUGGGCGCAAGCCUGAUCUAGCCAUGCCGCGUGGGUGAUGAAGGCCUUAGGGUUGUAAAGCUCUUUCAGUGGGGAUGAUAAUGACAGUACCCACAGAAGAAGCCCCGGCUAACUUCGUGCCAGCAGCCGCGGUAAUGUGUGACUG